UUAAGCGACUAAGCGUACACGGUGGAUGCCCUGGCAGUCAGAGGCGAUGAAGGACGUGCUAAUCUGCGAUAAGCGCCGGUAAGGUGAUAUGAACCGUUAUAACCGGCGAUUUCCGAAUGGGGAAACCCAGUGUGACUCGUCACACUAUCAUUAACUGAAUCCAUAGGUUAAUGAGGCGAACCGGGGGAACUGAAACAUCUAAGUACCCCGAGGAAAAGAAAUCAACCGAGAUUCCCCCAGUAGCGGCGAGCGAACGGGGAGGAGCCCAGAGCCUGAAUCAGCAUGUGUGUUAGUGGAAGCGUCUGGAAAGGCGCGCGAUACAGGGUGACAGCCCCGUACACAAAAGCGCAUGUGCUGUGAGCUCGAUGAGUAGGGCGGGACACGUGGUAUCCUGUCUGAAUAUGGGGGGACCAUCCUCCAAGGCUAAAUACUCCUGACUGACCGAUAGUGAACCAGUACCGUGAGGGAAAGGCGAAAAGAACCCCGGCGAGGGGAGUGAAAAAGAACCUGAAACCGUGUACGUACAAGCAGUGGGAGCACCCUUUGGGGUGUGACUGCGUACCUUUUGUAUAAUGGGUCAGCGACUUAUAUUCUGUAGCAAGGUUAACCGAAUAGGGGAGCCGGAGGGAAACCGAGUCUUAAUUGGGCGUUAAGUUGCAGGGUAUAGACCCGAAACCCGGUGAUCUAGCCAUGGGCAGGUUGAAGGUUGGGUAACACUAACUGGAGGACCGAACCGACUAAUGUUGAAAAAUUAGCGGAUGACCUGUGGCUGGGGGUGAAAGGCCAAUCAAACCGGGAGAUAGCUGGUUCUCCCCGAAAGCUAUUUAGGUAGCGCCUCGUGAAUUCAUCUCCGGGGGUAGAGCACUGUUUCGGCUAGGGGGCCAUCCCGGCUUACCAACCCGAUGCAAACUGCGAAUACCGGAGAAUGUUAUCACGGGAGACACACGGCGGGUGCUAACGUCCGUCGUGAAGAGGGAAACAACCCAGACCGCCAGCUAAGGUCCCAAAGUCAUGGUUAAGUGGGAAACGAUGUGGGAAGGCCCAGACAGCCAGGAUGUUGGCUUAGAAGCAGCCAUCAUUUAAAGAAAGCGUAAUAGCUCACUGGUCGAGUCGGCCUGCGCGGAAGAUGUAACGGGGCUAAACCAUGCACCGAAGCUGCGGCAGCGACGCUGAUGCGUUGUUGGGUAGGGGAGCGUUCUGUAAGCCUGUGAAGGUGGCCUGUGAGGGUUGCUGGAGGUAUCAGAAGUGCGAAUGCUGACAUAAGUAACGAUAAAGCGGGUGAAAAGCCCGCUCGCCGGAAGACCAAGGGUUCCUGUCCAACGUUAAUCGGGGCAGGGUGAGUCGACCCCUAAGGCGAGGCCGAAAGGCGUAGUCGAUGGGAAACGGGUUAAUAUUCCCGUACUUGGUGUUACUGCGAAGGGGGGACGGAGAAGGCUAUGUUGGCCGGGCGACGGUUGUCCCGGUUUAAGCGUGUAGGUGUGUGUUCCAGGUAAAUCCGGUUCACUUUAACACUGAGGCGUGAUGACGAGGCACUACGGUGCUGAAGCAACAAAUGCCCUGCUUCCAGGAAAAGCCUCUAAGCAUCAGGUAACAUCAAAUCGUACCCCAAACCGACACAGGUGGUCAGGUAGAGAAUACCAAGGCGCUUGAGAGAACUCGGGUGAAGGAACUAGGCAAAAUGGUGCCGUAACUUCGGGAGAAGGCACGCUGACACGUAGGUGAAGUGAUUUACUCAUGGAGCUGAAGUCAGUCGAAGAUACCAGCUGGCUGCAACUGUUUAUUAAAAACACAGCACUGUGCAAACACGAAAGUGGACGUAUACGGUGUGACGCCUGCCCGGUGCCGGAAGGUUAAUUGAUGGGGUCAGCGCAAGCGAAGCUCCUGAUCGAAGCCCCGGUAAACGGCGGCCGUAACUAUAACGGUCCUAAGGUAGCGAAAUUCCUUGUCGGGUAAGUUCCGACCUGCACGAAUGGCGUAAUGAUGGCCAGGCUGUCUCCACCCGAGACUCAGUGAAAUUGAACUCGCUGUGAAGAUGCAGUGUACCCGCGGCAAGACGGAAAGACCCCGUGAACCUUUACUAUAGCUUGACACUGAACAUUGAGCCUUGAUGUGUAGGAUAGGUGGGAGGCUUUGAAGUGUGGACGCCAGUCUGCAUGGAGCCGGCCUUGAAAUACCACCCUUUAAUGUUUGAUGUUCUAACGUGGACCCGUGAUCCGGGUUGCGGACAGUGUCUGGUGGGUAGUUUGACUGGGGCGGUCUCCUCCUAAAGAGUAACGGAGGAGCACGAAGGUUGGCUAAUCCUGGUCGGACAUCAGGAGGUUAGUGCAAUGGCAUAAGCCAGCUUGACUGCGAGCGUGACGGCGCGAGCAGGUGCGAAAGCAGGUCAUAGUGAUCCGGUGGUUCUGAAUGGAAGGGCCAUCGCUCAACGGAUAAAAGGUACUCCGGGGAUAACAGGCUGAUACCGCCCAAGAGUUCAUAUCGACGGCGGUGUUUGGCACCUCGAUGUCGGCUCAUCACAUCCUGGGGCUGAAGUAGGUCCCAAGGGUAUGGCUGUUCGCCAUUUAAAGUGGUACGCGAGCUGGGUUUAGAACGUCGUGAGACAGUUCGGUCCCUAUCUGCCGUGGGCGCUGGAGAACUGAGGGGGGCUGCUCCUAGUACGAGAGGACCGGAGUGGACGCAUCACUGGUGUUCGGGUUGUCAUGCCAAUGGCACUGCCCGGUAGCUAAAUGCGGAAGAGAUAAGUGCUGAAAGCAUCUAAGCACGAAACUUGCCCCGAGAUGAGUUCUCCCUGAGACUUAGAGUCUCCUGAAGGAACGUUGAAGACGACGACGUUGAUAGGCCGGGUGUGUAAGCGCAGCGAUGCGUUGAGCUAACCGGUACUAAUGAACCGUGAGGCUUAACCUU
rnacentral:rRNA from 1 species